CCUUUGUGAAAUCUCCGGGCUUAACCSGGGAACUGCGKAKGRGACUGCUGGGYUGAAGGAUGGGAGAGGAGCGYGGAAUUCCCGGUGUAGCGGUGAAAUGCGUAGAYAUCGGGAGGAARGCCGGUGGCGAAGGCGGCUCUYUGGAACAUAUCUGACGCUGAGGCUCGAAAGCGUGGGGAGCAAACAGGAUUAGAUACCCUGGUAGUCCACGCCUUAAACUAUGAAUACUAAGUGUCGGCGGKUUACCGCCGGUGCCGCAGCUAACRCAUUAAGUAUUCCGCCUGGGAAGUACRGCCGCGCGGUUG
rnacentral:rRNA from 1 species